GGACCAUCAUGUCGGUCGUGCCUCGGUACGUACUGGUAUUGUUGGUUUCUCCCUUCUGACGAACCAUAAUGUCAUUUAUUUGGUGUUGUGGGAAAUCAGGACUGUUACUUUGAAAAAAUUAGAGUGUUUAAAGCAGGCUCACGCUUGAAUACAUUAGCAUGGAAUAAUGAAAUAGGACGUUUGAUUCUAUUUUGUUGGUUUCUAGGAUCGACGUAAUGAUUAAUAGGGAUAGUUGGGGGCAUUAGUAUUCAAUUGUCAGAGGUGAAAUUCUUGGAUUUAUUGAAGACUAACUACUGCGAAAGCAUUUGCCAAGGAUGUUUUCAUUAAUCAAGAACGAAAGUUAGGGGAUCGAAGACGAUCAGAUACCGUCGUAGUCUUAACCAUAAACUAUGCCGACUAGGGAUCGGAUGAUGUUAAUUUUUUAAUGACUCAUUCGGCGCCUUACGGGAAACCAAAGUGUUUGGGUUCCGGGGGGAGUAUGGUCGCAAGGCUGAAACUUAAAGGAAUUGACGGAAGGGCACCACCAGGGGUGGAGCCUGCGGCUUAAUUUGACUCAACACGGGGAAACUCACCAGGUCCAGACAUAGUAAGGAUUGACAGACUGAGAGC
rnacentral:rRNA from 1 species